rnacentral:rRNA from 1 species
GACGAACGCUGGCGGCGUGCUUAACACAUGCAAGUCGAACGGAAAGGCCCUGCUUGCCGGGUACUCGCGUGGCGAACGGGUGAGUAACACGUGGGUGAUAUGCCCUGCACUUUGGGGUAAGCUCGGGAAACUGGGUCUAAUACCGGAUAGGAGCCAUCUUUAGUGUGGUGGUUGGAAAGAUUUUUCGGUGUAGGAUGAGCUCGCGGCCUAUCAGCUUGUUGGUGGGGUAAUGGCCUACCAAGGCGGCGACGGGUAGCCGGCCUGAGAGGGUGUACGGCCACAUUGGGACUGAGAUACGGCCCAGACUCCUACGGGAGGCAGCAGUGGGGAAUAUUGCACAAUGGGCGCAAGCCUGAUGCAGCGACGCCGCGUGGGGGAUGAAGGCCUUCGGGUUGUAAACUCCUUUCGCUAGGGACGAAGCGUUAUGUGACGGUACCUGGAUAAGAAGCACCGGCUAACUACGUG